AGCGUGGGUCUAAUAAAAAAUUCAAGACCCAAUAAUUCAUUCCAGUAACAAUUACUAUAAAGUUAAUGAAUCUUUAGUUGUUGAAAUAUCAAAAUAGAAAGAAAAGUAAUUUGCAUUGCAAUGGCUCUAAUUUUACGUAGCAUAUUCUUUCUCAUGUCUCUAAAUCUCAUUUCCACCAAUGAAGCAUUCUCAAAACAAUCACACAUAAUGCUCCCAUCAUCAUCAUCAUCAUCAUUAGAAUAUCAAAGAACUGAGAAAGUAACCAAUCUUCACUUCUACUACCAUGACAUUAAAAACAAAAACAACCCAACAAUAGUGCAAAUUGUUAACACACCAAAAAACGUNNNN
rnacentral:lncRNA from 1 species